rnacentral:rRNA from 1 species
UUGACCUCAAAUCGGGUGAGACUACCCGCUGAACUUAAGCAUAUCAAUAAGCGGAGGAAAAGAAACUAACAAGGAUUCCCCUAGUAACUGCGAGUGAAGCGGGAAAAGCUCAAAUUUAAAAUCUGGUGGCCUUUGGCCGUCCGAGUUGUAAUUUAGAGAAGCGUCUUCCGCGCCAACCGUGCACAAGUCUCCUGGAAUGGAGCGUCAUAGAGGGUGAGAAUCCCGUCUUUGGCACGGAUGCCUGGUGCUUCUGUGAUGCGCUCUCGAAGAGUCGAGUUGUUUGGGAAUGCAGCUCAAAAUGGGUGGUGAACUCCAUCUAAAGCUAAAUAUUGGCGAGAGACCGAUAGCGAACAAGUACCGUGAGGGAAAGAUGAAAAGCACUUUGGAAAGAGAGUGAAACAGUACGUGAAAUUGUUGAAAGGGAAACGCUUGAAGUCAGUCGCGUCUACCGAGACUCAGCCUUGCCUUGGCUUGGUGUACUUCUCGGCCCGACGGGUCAGCAUCAAUUUUGCCCCACGGAUAAUGGCAGGGGAAAGGUGGCACCUUUACGGGUGUGUUAUAGUCUCCUGUCGCAUGCGAGGGGUGGGAUUGAGGAACUCAGCG